rnacentral:rRNA from 1 species
UACGUAGGGUGCAAGCGUUGUCCGGAAUUAUUGGGCGUAAAGAGCUCGUAGGUGGCUUGUUGCGUCUGCCGUGAAAGCCCGUGGCUUAACUACGGGUCUGCGGUGGAUACGGGCAGGCUAGAGGCUGGUAGGGGCAAGCGGAAUUCCUGGUGUAGCGGUGAAAUGCGUAGAUAUCGGAAGGAACGCCGGUGGCGAAAGCGGCGUGCUGGGCACCUCCUGACGCUGAGGCGCGAAAGCCAGGGGAGCGAACGGG